rnacentral:lncRNA from 1 species
CCUUUCCUCCGAUCCUAUAUAGCUUUAGCUAACAGUGUAAUAAUUAACGCACCAUGGUUGACAUGGGUGCAGACUCACACAAUGCUCCUUCUUGCGGAACACCGCCGCACGGCGGCACGCCAACGCCAACUCCAACACCAUCCCAUGGAUCAGGUGGUGGGUACUACAAUCCACCUUCUGGUGGUGGCCACUACAACCCGCCAUCUGGUGGUGGGUACUACAAUCCACCUUCUGCACCGGUCGUCGUCACCCCUCCUUCCUCUCCACUGGUUCCUCUCGACCCUCCAACUCCAUUAACUCCGG